GAUGAACGCUGGCGGCGCGCCUAACACAUGCAAGUCGAACGAUUAAAGCACCUUCGGGUGUGUAUAAAGUGGCGAACGGCUGAGUAACACGUGGGCAACCUGCCCCCUUCAUUGGGAUAGCCACGGGAAACCGUGGAUAAUACCGAAUACUUCGAGACUUCCGCAUGGAAGACUCGAGAAAGCUCCGGCGGAGAGGGAUGGGCCCGCGGCCUGUUAGCUUGUUGGUGGGGUAACGGCCUACCAAGGCAAUGAUGGGUAGCUGGGUUGAGAGACCGACCAGCCAGAUUGGGACUGAGACACGGCCCAGACUCCUACGGGAGGCAGCAGUGGGGAAUCUUGCACAAUGGGCGAAAGCCUGAUGCAGCGACGCCGCGUGCGGGAUGAAGGCCUUCGGGUUGUAAACCGCUUUCAGCAGGGACGAGGCGAAAGUGACGGUACCUGCAGAAGAAGCCCCGGCUAACUACGU
rnacentral:rRNA from 1 species